rnacentral:lncRNA from 1 species
CCCGUCCCCUCUUCUGGGGUCCCGGGGGAUUUUGGGGCGGGUUUUGGGGUGUAUUUUGGGGCGGGGGUCCCCGGGGAUUUUAGGGCGGGUUUGGGGUGUAUUUUGGGGCGGGGGUCCCUGGGGAUUUAGGGGUGGAUUUUGGGGUGUAUUUUGGGGAGGGGGUCCCUGGGGAUUUUGGGGCGGGUUUGGGGUGUAUUUUGGGGCGGGGGUCCCUGGGGAUUUUGGGGCGGGUUUGGGGUGUAUUUUGGGGCGGGGGUCCCUGGGGAUUUUGGGGGCGGACCCCCCACUUCCCUCCCCCGGGGCACUGGGGCGAAUCUCCUGCCGGGCCCGGCCGCGCGCAGCUGAUGGCGGCUGCUCCCCAAAUCCGGGGGGCUCCCCCAAAACGGGGGGUCCCGAGCCCCCUCCUCAUCCUCCUCCUCCUCCUCCUCCUCCUCCUCCCAGGUAUCGCUGGGGGGAAUUGGAGGUCUGGGGGCUUCGGGGGUCUCGGGGUUUGAGUUUGGAUCUGGGGAGGUUUGAGGGGUUCUGGGGUGUCGGGGUUUGGGGAUGGGGGUUUUGGGGGUCCCAGGGUUUGGGUCUGGGAGUUUUGGGGGUUUCGGGGGUCCCAGGGUUUGGGUCUGGGGGUUUCAGGAGUUCCAGGGUCUCAUUUUUGGGGUCUCGGGGGUCCUCAGGCUCUCACCUCUGGGUUUUGGGGUGUUUCAGGACUUCCGGGGUCUCAGGGUUUGGGUCUGGGGGUUUUGGGGGGGUCCCACCUGUGCCCACCCCCCUUAACGGCCGUGGGGACCCUCCUGAACCCACUUGGGGGUCUCGGGGGACCCCAAAACCAAAAACAACCUCCGGGUGCUUCCCCCCAGCCACCUGGGCCGGGGUGUCCCCUGGGACCCCCCCCCGAACUUCCCGUUCCAACCAGAGCUGAAACUGGGGGGGCAGAGCUGGAAUUGGGGGGGCAGAGCUGAAACUGGGGGGGCAGAGCAGGAACUGGGGGGCAGAGCUGAAAUUGGGGGGGCAGAGGUGGAACUAGGGGGGCAGCAGGGCUGGGGGUCCCCCCGGUGCCACCUGCAGGGUCCCCGUGUGAGACCCCCACCCACGGGGGGGAUUCAGGGACCCCCCUCUGUGAGACCCCCACCCACGGGGGGAUUCAGGAACCCCCUGU